GGCUCCCGGGCAGAGGCAGUGUGCGCGCCAUGGAGGACGACGGCUGCUGCUACCGCGACGCGCUCAGCAUCUUCCUGGCCAACCGGCGGCUCACCAUCGAGGUGCAGCGCGAGCGAGAGCUCUACCGCCGGCUGAGAGCCCGCGACGUCAAGACGCUGCUGCUGGGAUGUGGUUCAUCCGGAAAAUCAACUUUUAUGAAGCAGGUGAGGAUUAUUGAAGAAGGCGGUUUAACUGAAGAAGAACGGAAAACGUUUAAGCCAGUAAUUUGCCAAAAUGUUAUCACAUCUACUCAGAUGCUGAUUAUGGGAAUGCAGUUGUAUGAGCUUCAGUAUGAGUCCAAAAAAUCAGAGGAAUGUGCAAAAAUGAUCAUGGAGCUGGAAGUGAGGGAGGUGACAGAGCUAAAUGCCACUGUGCUGGCAGCUGUGAAACAAUUGUGGAGGGAUAGCGGUAUACAGGCCUGCUACAAACGCCGUGAUGAGUUGUACCUUUUGGAUUCUACAAAAUAUUUCAUGAGGAGGCUGGACGUCAUGUCUGCACCGGACUACAUCCCUACAGAGCAGGACGUCCUCAGGUCCAGGAGCCCCACGUCGGGUGUCAUCGAGUAUCGUCUACCCAUCCAGAACUAUGAUAAGAAACUCUGCAUUGUCGAUGUAGGAGGGCAGAGGUCUGAGCGCCCCAAAUGGGUUCACUGUUUUGAAAACUGUGUCGCAUUUAUUUUUAUAUCUGCCAUAAGUGAGUACAACCAGCUCAACGAACGUGGCCAGAAUCGGGUGAGCGAGAGCUUGGCACUCUUCAAGGUGUUGCUCACAUGUUCGGCAUUUCGUUACACUUCAGUUAUUGUUUUCCUGAACAAAGUGGACAUUUUUGACGAGAAGAUCAAGAAACACCAUCUUUCUCACUACUUCCCAGAAUACAAAGAAAAUCCUGGCUGUGAGGUGGAGGUCUGGAUUUCAUCUGAUACAUCAUUUCUGGUAUUUCUUGAAUUUUGCAACUGGUUUGAAGAACAUUCUGCAUAAUCAAGUGGAUGAUUUGGCCAUCCAGAUCACUCAACAUGAAUCCCAUAGAACUUUUAUGGGACAUAAUAGAGAUGUCAAUUCGUGCACAAAAUCCUGCGCUGGAAACGCUUUCACAAUUAUGGAUGGGUAUAGAAGCAGCAUGGCUAAGUAUUUCUGCAGGUGACUUCAAAUGACUUAAUGACUUGUUCAGUCCAUGCCAUGUUGGGAUGCUGUACUACACCGAGCAAAAGCAAGUCUGACAAAUAUUAGGAGGUACCCUGUGACCUAUGUCACCUCCGUGUAUAACCACCCAGUAGUCACCUACCUCUAUUUUGCAACUCCACGACACUUCAUCUCUGAAUUUCACUUUGGCUACAGUGCUCUUAGAGUGAUUUUCAGCACUGUACCCACAGUAAUAAAGGUCUACAGCUCUUACACAUUGAUCGAUGUGCCACAGCAGAGAGAUGACAGUUCAAAUCUCUGUCCGGCCCUUCGGAAUUAGAUUAUUUGUGAUUUUCCUAGAUCACAUAAAAUGAAUGUUAGGAUGGUUCAUUUGAAAGAGCACAGCUGAUUUACUUGUCCAGUCCACCUGCAAGAAUGUGAGACACUAAUCUUCCUACCCACCUCAGUUGACAGAACAAAUGACUUAAACACGUCCAUAAUUAAUGAAUUCUUUGCAACUGAUGCUGUUUUGUGUUUUAUUUAGCAAUGCUCAGUUACCUUUCAUUACAUGAUAAAAAAAUAAUUCUCUUCUUUUCUUUUUCUGCCAGGGCCAAAAAAGGAUCCAGAGUCAGCAAAAGAAUUUUUUGCCGAGAAGUUUCAGAAAUGUUGCCACGAUGUGAGGAAGAGUGUCUACGUACGCUAUACUUGUGCCACAGAUACUGAGAACAUGUCAGCAGUAUUUUCCACAGUUCGAG